GAUGAACGCUAGCGGCAGGCUUAAUACAUGCAAGUCAAGGGGGUAGCAAUACAACCGGCGCACGGGCGAGUAACGCGUACACAACAUGCCAUAUACUGGGGUAUAGCUUUGGGAAACUGAAGGUAAUCCCCCAUAGUAUUGUGGGUAGGCAUCUAUCUGCAAUUAAAGUUUCGACGGUAUAUGAUUGGUGUGCGUUCCAUUAGCUAGUUGGUAGGGUAACGGCCUACCAAGGCGACGAUGGGUAGCUGGCGUGAGAGCGCGACCAGCCACACUGGAACUGAGACACGGUCCAGACUCCUACGGGAGGCAGCAGUGGGGAAUUUUGGACAAUGGGCGCAAGCCUGAUCCAGCCAUGCCGCGUGAGUGAAGAAGGCCU
rnacentral:rRNA from 1 species